ACAAACUUUACUUCUCAAAAUCCUACUGCAAAACCCAUUCUCUUCACCAAUCUCCUCUCCUUAGUCCUCACUGUAACCUUAAACUCUCCAUUUUCCUCCUUGGCUAUCGCUUCUCUUAACUCUCAGCCUCCCCUUCUGUUUCCCACAACCCAUUUUCUCAAUCCAAGGACCUGCAGAUUGGACUAUAAAAUAGGAAAAUCAGGCCUUGCCCGUCUACAAACCCAGGUUCUGUUUCAACAAAUCCGCAAUCUUCAUCAUUUGCAUUCCCAUGGAGGAUUCCAGAGAAUGUAAUCCAGAAGUUGCAGGAAGCAAUCCUGAAAAUGAAGAAAAAUGCCAAGAUUUAAGUCAUUGAAGAUGCCCCAAAUGGCAAUCAACACCAUAUAUAUGCAACCAUAGUAAUUAUGUAACAAAAUUUGAAAGACUUUGAACACCAUGAACGAUUGCUUGAUUUUAGAUGUGAAUGUGAGAAUAGAAGGAGAUGUAGUUGCUAAUAGAUCUAUGGCUACAAAAGUAUAACCUAUGUAUACCCUUUCACAACAACCUUGGGGGAUUCACAAGGACUGGAAGAAAGAGUGAAGAAAUUCUUGGACGAGUUGGGCUGGUAUGUUCCAAGUUUUUAUUCCAUGGAUUAGAUUUAUAUUAUAUUGCCUGACCAACAAGAUGAUUAAAUUUAGUCCUUGUUUUGAGUUAGCUUCAUCAGUUAGUGGAUGUUCUCAAGGAUAUCAGUGGAAAAUCUUAUCUGGUAUUCACUGGUCCUGACUGA